AUUGAACGCUGGCGGCAUGCUUUACACAUGCAAGUCGAACGGCAGCGCGGGCUUCGGCCUGGCGGCGAGUGGCGAACGGGUGAGUAAUGCAUCGGAACGUGCCCAGUAGUGGGGGAUAGCCCGGCGAAAGCCGGAUUAAUACCGCAUACGACCUGAUGGUGAAAGCGGGGGACCGAAAGGCCGCGCGCUAUUGGAGCGGCCGAUGUCGGAUUAGCUAGUUGGUGGGGUAAGGGCUUACCAAGGCGACGAUCCGUAGCUGGUCUGAGAGGACGACAGGCCACAUUGGGACUGAGCCACGGCCCAGACUCCUACGGGAGGGAGCAGUGGGGAAUGUUGGACAAUGGGGGCAACCAUGAUCCAGCCAUGCCGAGUGCGGGACGAAGGCCUUCGGGUUGUAAACCGCUUUUGUUCGGGAAGAAAUCCUCUGGGCUAAUACCCCGGGGGGAUGACGGUACCGGAAGAAUAAGCACCGGCUAACUACGUG
rnacentral:rRNA from 1 species